UUGGAGGGCAAGUCUGGUGCCAGCAGCCGCGGUAAUUCCAGCUCCAAUAGCGUAUAUUAAAGUUGUUGCAGUUAAAAAGCUCGUAGUUGAACUUCGGGGUUUACCCAUUGGUCAGGCUUAAUUGUCUGUACUGGUGAGAUAAAUCUCUACCUUCUGAGGAACUUUCAUGUCAUUAAUUUGGUGUGAUUGGAAAUCAGGACUGUUACUUUGAAAAAAUUAGAGUGUUUAAAGCAGGCUAACGUCUGAAUACAUUAGCAUGGAAUAAUGAAAUAGGACGGACUGAUUCUAUUUCGUUGGUUUCUAGGAUCACCGUAAUGAUUAAUAGGGAUAGUUGGGGGCAUUAGUAUUCAAUUGUCAGAGGUGAAAUUCUUGGAUUUAUUGAAGACUAACUACUGCGAAAGCAUUUGCCAAGGAUGUUUUCAUUAAUCAAGAACGAAAGUUAGGGGAUCGAAGACGAUCAGAUACCGUCGUAGUCUUAACCAUAAACUAUGCCGACUAGGGAUCGGACGAAGUUAAUUUUAUAAUGACGCGUUCGGCGCCUUACGGGA
rnacentral:rRNA from 1 species